GGUGAGAGCUCCAUCAUCGCGUCGUCUCGUUCGUCUCUCGGCCCAACUGAACAGGUCGUGGAGCAACAAGGCGAGCUUCUCGCCUGAACCCACCGCCGAGCACCGAGUCGCUGCUGCUCGUCGUCUCUUGAUCAGCCUGAACAGGCCGCGUCCCUUCUUCCUAAAGCUAAGUUAUAUCCUUGACUCGUCUUCUUCCUACCAUGUCUGAGUAUCGAUAAGCUUAAGCUUCUAUGAGUAAGAAAGAAUCAGGGUUUAACACUCUGUCAGUGAGCAUGCUAUCGCUAUCCUUGUUCGUUCAUUCAUGUGCUAUGUGUGAGGUCCUCAUGGUUUGUGUUCUAGAGUGCAGUGGCAGUAUACACAUAAGUCUUUCUAUUGCUAUACAUAACAUGGACUGUUUGAUGUAGUGGUAAAACAUGAUUAUGCUCGUUGGUAUGAAUGCGAACUCGAUUGGAUAACUGAGGUAGUAUAAAUACCUUGAAUGAUGCUUGCUUUGGUGUUUGUUGGCUGUUGUGGUUGGAUUAAAUGAAGCAGCAGAUCGAACUGAAAUAAUAAAGUUGUUCUUGCAUUAAUGCAGGUGGAAUAAGGGAAGAAGGUGGAGCAUUGAAGACAAGCUUACCUUGAGAAUACUUGGUAGGAUGAAUUAAAGGCUCACUUCUCCUUGUGCAGUCCUCAAAUGAAGAAUGAAGAGAAUGCAACAAUGUUGGCUGUUUUGAAUGACGAGGUGGUUUGGCUGGGAGCUUGUAUACAUGGGAGGAGGUACAUUCUAGGGUGGCUGAUUGACAUAUUUAGGUGUACUUGGGCAUGGCAGCCUGCUGCAUAGGCGUGGGAAAAAAAAAGGUGCAGCAAGCUCAAGAGGGGAUAGGGGAGUGUGCAGCACAUGUCUCCAUACCUUAUUGUUAUUCACAUUUUCUUGAACUUAGGGGGGGUGGCAGGUGGUGGAGUAGGAAAGUGGUAGAGUGUAAACCGUAGGGAGUGCAGAUGGUAGAUAAGCAUAGGUGUGUAUGGUUGUAAAGUAUGAUGUGAUCUAAAUAUAAUCCUUCAGUGUUGUUGCUCUA
rnacentral:lncRNA from 1 species